UUUAAAAAAAAAAACGCUUCUUCACGCUUCUUGUUUACCCUCAGGUCAGGAACAUGCUGGGGCUAAAAACAAAAUCCCUACAUGACAUUUCCUAAUUAGGAUUAUUUCAACCAUCUACGUCAACACAGUUUAUCACCUGGCAUUUCAGUCACUCACAUUUCCGCUUGUUCUCUUUACAGCCCUUCGGUUCAACUUAACACCUCACAAUAGACAAAUGCAUUGACUUUUAAAUGCUGGCUAAUGUGAUCUGACGGGGCUGGACAGACUGAAAUCAAACGUGUCAUUAAGGCUGUUCCUUAUAAAGAAUAAGUAAAAGUGCAGACGGCCAGAAUGUCAGUGGAGUUAAAAGGGAUAUCAGGGACUUAAACACUGAAACCAGCUAAUCGUCACAUGAACAUGAACACCUUCUUUAAAAAUCUAUCCAUUAUACAAGGCAACAAAAGCUAUUGUUUCCCACAAUGCACAAGUCUUUUCUACGCGGAGAGACUAUCCAUGUGAAAGAAACUGGCUGCUGGUAUCAAAUACACUGCUAACACCGCACGUCAAACUCUCAAGUCAUCGGAUCCCGUGGAUAAAUCACUAAAUCACGCCACAAUAGCCGAGGACUGGGCUCAUUCACACAGGCCACAUGAAAAGGGAAGGAGAGAAAGAGGGAAGUCUGACUUCCAUGGCUCAGACCAGCCAUACAAAAGGCCCUGGAACAGCGCUGCCUCAGGACAAAAUCAUAUGACACUGGCGCACAGGAAAUCGCCAAAUUGCCUAUUGUUUAGGGCAACAUCAAAAUCCCUCUGCCUCCACACUGGGGGAGAGAUACGGGCUACGAGAACAUGUAAGAAGGGAUGGGAGGUCGCGUUCUGUAGCGUUCACACCAGGUUUAGGAGAAAGCAAAGGAAAAAAUGGAAAACAAUUACAGUAGAAGCUAUUUUUGUUCUUUUAUAAUGUUUCACGCUGCUUUAUACGACAUCUUCGUGAUUUUCUUGCCAACAGCAAAAACAAAAUCGCUGGAGUUUGAGUUGUGUUUAUGCUAGCUCAACCCUAACCACAGUGCGGACGCCAAGCAGUAAAAUUACCACAGCCAUAGUCUAUUUUUUUUUAUAACAAUCACUGUUUAGUCAAAGUAGAAACUAACAAACUGUGUGUUUUGUGUCAAACAAAGUCUUCAAACUAUCACCACAUCAGAAAAUGCCUCUCAGGUGUUUCCCCUGACGUACAUGGAAUAUCUCCAAACUGCAAACAUUGUUCCUCUGCCUAAAUAAUAUCCUCGUAAGGUCAAUGCCGUGAGAAAUAACAGUAACUGAAAAAUGGUUGUAGCAAAAGCUGUUACGGAGUUUUAGGUCGCUGGAUCAGAGCACGUUUAUUGAGUUCACGUAUUUGAAGCGUUCGGUGCAUCCCUAACACGUACACGAUGUGUAGAAAGACUACAUAAAUGUUUGUGUAAAUGUGCGUUCACAACAAAAUCCCACGUCGAAGUACACACCAUUUUAAAGUGAAUUCUAUGAAGAGGUGAGUGCAGCCGUGGAGGGUUGGAGGCAGGUAGAGCCCGAGGCCACGCCGGCUCUCAUCUAUUCAACUACACGACCCAUUAAGACAGCAGCUGUUCUCUGGCCUUUUCAUUCAUUCCUCCCACCUCAGCACACAACAAACACACACACAUUCACACACACAGUGUUUUAUCUGUGGCACGCCGCUGCUCCUAAAACAUCCUGCAGUGUGGAAAGUGAAUGCCAUCAGUUUCUCUGCGCACUUUUACAACGGCCGUUUACAAAAAGAUCCGUUUGUUAGCUCAGGUUUAUGAUUCACGAUGGUGUGCAAAUAGAAGUAAUCCUGCCGCACAAAUGCUUGAUUGUGCGCAAACCCACCUGUACGAGGGAGUGUGUGUGUGUGUGUGUGUGACCUUUAAUACAUGAGCGGCUCAUUAGUCAAAUACAUUCACCGACAACCGUCUGCUCAACAUGCAAACAGCUGUUAACUAUGAGUCAACACAUCGUGAAAACAGCAUAAACCCGGCAAAUAAAUUGGCGGUAAAUUAUCUCCUUCCAGGUCUUGACGACCAAUCAAAGGCGUAGACGUAGACGUAGAUCACUCUCCAGCUUCUAGAGCGUCAGUAACAAUUAUUUCCAAAUUCCAUUCCCUUCUCUUCUCACGACAAAGCCAAACAAAACUCUUUCUCGUACCACUGUGUUUUUCUAAAAGAUCAGUUUGUUUGUUCUUAAAUUGAUCUUUUUUUUAGUCUACUUCUCAUCAUUUCCACAGGAUUUUUAAUUUGACUGUGAACAGUGUUUGUUCAGCGUCAAGUGACAUCACAGAUAGACAAACAGCAAGUGACAAUCUUCACUUAACUAUUAAAUAAAUAUCUCUGUCACGACUUCUUAAUUUCCCACGACAUCAAUACAGUAACAUUUGUUCCACGAUCUGCGUCAUCCAAGAGGUUCUUCCUCACACCUGUACUGCAAUUUCAACUUUGUUUUUGCUUUUAAACUUUAGAAUUUCACAGAUCAACCAAGACAUUUGAGUUAAAAUACAAAUAAACCUUCUGAGCAGAGGUCAAACAAACGUAAUAUUACUUUUAAGACUGAAGAAAUGCUCCACACUAAGGCUGAUGCUACAUCAAAAUACAAAAACAUAAAACCUGAAUGCCAUUUUUGCAACAACUCGUAUAAGAUAGGCCUGAGUUUUUUGGAUUUUUUUAAUUUAGCUUGAAUCUCACUUGAAUCUUUUCUGAUUGUGACAGACAAAGACUCUCAGACUCUCUGAGGGUCUAACAGAAGAUCAUUCUACUCAAAUUUCGCCAGUUCAAAUCCAUUGUUGUGACACUGUCCAGGGCUACUGUGCUGUUCAAUCACAAACAUUUACAGGUUUAAAUCAAUCCAGGACCUGUGUAUUUACUCAGGCUUGUGUUUCUGCCAAUCAAAGGACGAGCUGUAAAGUCUAAUGUCCACAUGUAAGAAAGAACAACUUCCUGUGGUUCAAGUGGAUCGGCUGCCAAGGAACAGUCAGCAGUCUUCUGUGUGUGUGAGUGUGUGUAUGUGUCACUGGGUGUGUGUGUGUGUACACAUCUAUGUGAGCAAAUGUUAAAACAGCAGGACCAUAAUCCACAGAGUGUGUGUGUGUGUAAUAAUCUCCCACUAACCAGUCAUUGUUUUUACCGUUUGCCUAGGAAAAGCACGGUGAUUAACACACAUGUGUCUUUUCAAAACUUUAAAGCGACGACGACCGGAGUCUUCCCCUUUGGUAAACUCCGGUUGCUGGGACUGUGAUCUGGGUCGCCCCGUGUCAGUUAUACAGUGAGUGUUACUGUCUGGUUGAGGUAAUCCACAGAGGAGUUAGUGAUGAGCUCCACAGGACACUGUGUAAACAGCUGUGUCUCAGGAGUUUAUUUAGCGUGCGUGCGUGUGUUUAGGGAACUUCAAAAUGAACAAUAAUAGUUCUUUCACAAACACCAACCGAACACUGGAGGAUAUCCUGGUCGGCUACAUCCUUGUUCGGUAGUUAAUUUUAUCCCGCUCCGUUUAACAAGCAUCCUCCACAUGAGACCAUUUAAAAAAAUAACAAUAAUAUAAUAAUAAGAAGAAGAAUGUGAAAACUUUUUUUUAAGAAUUUUGAUUUUCAGUGUUUUUUUAGUUUACCUUGUUUACUUCAAGUCAUUUUCAUUUACUUCUUUCAUUUAACGAUAAUCUGGAUUUUUUUUUCCAAAUUAAUAUGUCUUUCAGAAUCUAGUACUAAUAGAAUAAAGUCUAAAAGAUGUUUUAUUAUGAAAAUCUACCGAUCUUCUGACUAUCCUUCAACCAUCAGUGCAGCUCCACCGGUCUGUAAUACCAGCCAGUACAAAAAAGUUGGCGACCACUGCCUUAGAAAAAUUAAAUUUGUAGGGUGUGCUGUUGAACAGCUUGUAUUUGGUUACGAAACUUUGCACACACAGAGCCAACCUCUUUGUGUGUGUGUUUAACGUUGACUGUACUGUGAGAAUUCCUGCAAACAAAACCAACAGACCAGAGUAAAGCAGUGAGGCCUAGAGGAUUAUAGGUGUCAUGACAGACUCUGUUACCUCAUAUUUACACCGUAAUCCCUUCAAUCAACGUUCAAAGUGUGAACACUGCAAAAUAUGACAAACAUUAUAACCACGUUAGCAGGCUCUGAAGUAAGAAAUCUAAUAAACUGUGUCACACAUGUGCCAUUUUGAUGUUACAUGUGGGACAUUUUUUCCGUGUCGUUGCGUCGAGUUUAAAACAGCGUGAAUUUUUUUCAGCAGUUUUCUAGGUUUCACAGCAGAUAAAUCGACAGAGAGCAAACACAACGGUGACGGAACUUUAAUCGUGGAGCUCAGUACACGUCCAGAAAAUAACACUAGGGAAUUCAGACAGUGUCCUGCAGUGCCCCCACGACGCCACAUGGAAAUCCUACAUACAGUGGGUGUUUACUGUUGUAAUUCAAUAUGACCUCAACAGUCUUCCCAACAAGGUCUGGACAAACCCUGGUCCAGUCCAACAUUUUAGUACACAGGGCCCAUAUGCACACUAACAAUGACUACCUGUGGGUCGUUCAUGCCAACGGUAAGUUCUAGCAGAGCGUGGAACUGUUGACCAUAUGUGAUCCAUACAAUCACCCUCUGCCCACCGGCUCUAACAGAGAUCAUGAAAGAGAGCGUGGAAGCCGCAGCACAGUGUGUUGAUGUGUGGGGGCUGGGACGGUGGUUAAGACAGGCAGGUAGAAUAUCAGAGAGGUUCAGGAGGCAGCCCCCCAACAUACACACACACACACACACACGUUCCACACACCCACGUUAGUCCUUUUCACCAUUAUCUGCUCUUGUCAUCUCCCUCUUUCAAGAGAUUGGGGAUCCUGUGGCAAGAACCAAGACCCCCAGCCCCCCUUGUCCACACACACACACACAGAGGGCCAGUGUUCUCCCCUGGGGGGCUGACUGAGAUGAAAGGAUGGUUGGUAAAGACGCAGAUAAAGCAGUACUUUGAGGGGCACAAAAACCCUGGGAACUCAGCUGGUAGUACUGGGUGGAGUCAAUGGAUGAGGUAAAUGACCCUAAUAACUCUGAACCAGCCUAGAGGGAGUUUUCCUGUCGGCUCACUGCUUUUCCUGCUCCUGUCUCCUCGGGACAGACACAGGAACUACUAAGUGCCUUCACUUUUACCUUUCUGGGGUAAAACAUCACAGAAAAUUUAAUAGUUUUACUUCUCAUAAGAGAAGUACAAUCUACUGGUCAACUUCAACAGUACUAGUACUGAGUACUGUGGAGACAGUCAUGACUAUGAAGUUGACAUGGAAGGAAAGAAAUGCACAAACAGCACAACAGGAAGUACGCUGUCACAAAAGUACUAUUUUUUAUUGUUAAUCUAACAGUAUAUCAGUUAAGGCAAUGAGUUACAAGAACAAUACACCUCAAUUCUCAAGUAAAAUCCUGCAGCCCGUUUAAAAACACUUAUCGAUGUACUUACUAAGAUUACCACAGGAGGGCGACAGAGACAACAGAUUGAAAAUGUUUGAUGGCGAUUUGACACGAGUCGGAUACAGUUGCGUUACAAUCUAACGGGAAAACUAUGAGGUGACCUAUGGUAAAGGGUGGUAAUAUUUCUGCUAGAUGAAAAAAUAAAUAAAGUUUUUGAUUAAAAUAUUAAAAAUAAAAAAGAUUAAAAUAUUAAAAAUACUUUUAUAGUUGUUAAACCGCUUACAUUUGUUUUCUGAUCAAAUAAAAGCUUUAAAAUAUGAAUAUAAAUAUGUUUAUAGUUGUCUGUAACUGGAAACUAAAUAUACUUGGUUUUAGGUGUAUAAAAAUAUUGUUUAAAUUGUUUAUCGAUUAUAAAAAUAAUCUUCAGCUGCCACUUUGUAUUACAAUUACGUUUUAUACAGAUGAGAUACUUGUAGGUACGCUAGAACAGUCUCAAAAAGAAUAAAUGCACAAACAAGGAUUCACAAAUGUACUUUGAAAAUUCACAAAUGUAUGCAUGUGAAGAUAUUUGUUAGUUUCAUAAAAUACAUUUGUGAAUUGUCUAACGCGCUUUUAUAACUUGCUUUUAGUAUGUAAAUCUCCCUGCAUUUGUUUGUGAUACACAAAUGCAUUUUUUCUACAUGGGGCCCGUCAGCCAAUCAGAUGUCACGUUCGUUUGCAGCCAAUCACACGACUGUAUCCCCAUGCGGGACUUGUGUGACGUCACUAUACCGUGCCACAGAUCCACCUGUCAUAACAGAAAUGACGUCUGAAAGCGGCUAUGGAGAGAGUUUAGAUAACUGGACAUGACAUUUGCAUUCAACAGAAGAGGUGGGCUAAGACACAACCUAUCACCCACACACUGAAACCAUUCUGAUGAGGAUUACAACGACCCAUCAGACUCCUAAUGACUGUUAACACUUCCCCAGAUGACCCUGACGGCCCACCCGACAGGAGGGACCUGAAAUCAUCAUUCUGAUGACUUAUAACUUUUCUCAACAACUGUCAUCACAUCAAUCAUUUACAGAAGAGUUCUCACCUUGUUGUCCUUUGAGGCACUGAUGAACAUGGUGAGGUCCACAGACGUCUGGAUGUCGUUGAUGUGCCUGCUGUGCUCCUCAGCUUUCUUCAGGACUUCCUGGAA